rnacentral:rRNA from 1 species
UGGAGAGUUUGAUCCUGGCUCAGGACGAACGCUGGCGGCGUGCUUAACACAUGCAAGUCGAACGGGAUCCUUUCUAGCUUGCUAGGGGGGUGAGAGUGGCGAACGGGUGAGUAACGCGUGAUUAACCUGCCGUGUAGUUUGGAAUAGCUCCUGGAAACGGGUGGUAAUGCCGAAUGUUCCACAUGCUCGCAUGGGUGUGUGGGAAAACGUUUUAGUGCUAUGCGAUGGGAUCGCGUCCUAUCAGCUUGUUGGUGGGGUAGUGGCCUACCAAGGCUUCGACGGGUAGCCGGCCUGAGAGGGCGACCGGCCACAUUGGGACUGAGAUACGGCCCAGACUCCUACGGGAGGCAGCAGUGGGGAAUAUUGCACAAUGGGGGGAACCCUGAUGCAGCGACGCCGCGUGCGGGAUGACGGCCUUCGGGUUGUAAACCGCUUUUAUUGGGGAGCAAGCGUGAGUGAGUGUACCUUUUGAAUAAGCACCGGCUAACUACGUGCCAGCAGCCGCGGUA